rnacentral:rRNA from 1 species
CCUACGGGAGGCUGCAGUAGGGAAUAUUGCUCAAUGGGGGAAACCCUGAAGCAGCAACGCCGCGUGGAGGAUGAAGGUUUUAGGAUUGUACACUCCUUUUGUUAGAGAAGAUAAUGACGGUAUCUAACGAAUAAGCACCGGCUAACUCCGUGCCAGCAGCCGCGGUAAUACGGAGGGUGCAAGCGUUACUCGGAAUCACUGGGCGUAAAGAGGGCGUAGGCGGGAUAGCAAGUCAGAUGUGAAAUCCUAUGGCUUAACCAUAGAACGGCAUUUGAAACUGUUAUUCUAGAGUAUGGGAGAGGUAGGUGGAAUUCUUGGUGUAGGGGUAAAAUCCGUAGAGAUCAAGAGGAAUACUCAUUGCGAAGGCGACCUGCUAGAACAUAACUGACGCUGAUGCGCGAAAGCGUGGGGAGCAAACAGGAUUAGAUACCCCUGUAGUC